rnacentral:rRNA from 2 species
ACCUCGGAUCAGGUAGGAAUACCCGCUGAACUUAAGCAUAUCAAUAAGCGGAGGAAAAGAAACCAACAGGGAUUGCCCUAGUAACGGCGAGUGAAGCGGCAACAGCUCAAAUUUGAAAUCUGGCCCUCGGGUCCGAAUUGUAAUUUGUAGAGGAUGCUUUUGGUGAGGUACCUUCCGAGUUCCCUGGAACGGGACGCCAUAGAGGGUGAGAGCCCCGUCUGGUUGGAUACCGAUCCUCUGUAAAGCUCCUUCGACGAGUCGAGUAGUUUGGGAAUGCUGCUCUAAAUGGGAGGUAUAUGUCUUCUAAAGCUAAAUAUUGGCCAGAGACCGAUAGCGCACAAGUAGAGUGAUCGAAAGAUGAAAAGCACUUUGAAAAGAGAGUUAAAAAGUACGUGAAAUUGUUGAAAGGGAAGCGCUCAUGACCAGACUUGGGCUUGGUUGAUCAUCCAGGGUUCUCCCUGGUGCACUCUUCCAGCCCAGGCCAGCAUCAGUUCGCUGUGGGGGAUAAAGGCUUUGGGAAUGUGGCUCCUCCGGGAGUGUUAUAGCCCAUUGUGUAAUACCCUGUGGUGGACU